UACGUAGGGUGCGAGCGUUAAUCGGAAUUACUGGGCGUAAAGCGUGCGCAGGCGGUUGGCAAAGUCAGCUGUGAAAGCCCCGGGCUCAACCUGGGAAUGGCGGUUGAAACUAGUCGACUAGAAUCUGGCAGAGGGGGGUGGAAUUCCACGUGUAGCAGUGGAAAUGCGUAGAGAUGUGAAGGAACACGGAGGCGAAAGGCGCCGUGCC
rnacentral:rRNA from 1 species